rnacentral:rRNA from 1 species
UCAGCAGCCGCGGUAAUUCCAGCUCCAAUAGCGUAUAUUAAAGUUGUUGCAGUUAAAAAGCUCGUAGUUGGACUUUAGGCAAGACGGCCUGGUCGCCCACUGGGUGUACUGGGAUCGUUGCGCCUCACCUUCGGGGAGCCAGUCGUGCUUCGGUGCGCUGGGGAACCGAGCCUUACCUUGAGGAAAUUAGAGUGUUUAAAGCAGGCUUAUGCUUGAAUACGUUAGCAUGGAAUAACAUGAUAGGACUUUGGUUCUAUUUUGUUGGUUUGAGGACCAAAGUAAUGAUUAAUAGGGACAGUUGGGGGCAUUAGUAUUCAAUAGUCAGAGGUGAAAUUCUUGGAUUUAUUGAAGACUAACUAAUGCGAAAGCAUUUGCCAAGGAUGUUUUCAUUAAUAAAGAACGAAAGU